rnacentral:rRNA from 1 species
UACGGAGGGGGCUAGCGUUGUUCGGAAUUACUGGGCGUAAAGCGCGCGUAGGCGGCUUUGUAAGUUAGAGGUGAAAGCCCGGAGCUCAACUCCGGAAUUGCCUUUAAGACUGCAUCGCUAGAAUCAUGGAGAGGUGAGUGGAAUUCCUAGUGUAGAGGUGAAAUUCGUAGAUAUUAGGAAGAACACCAGUGGCGAAGGCGGCUCACUGGCCCGGUACUGACGCUGAGGCGCGAAAGCGUGGGGAGCAAACAGG